rnacentral:snRNA from 1 species
GCACUUCCCGGCAGGGAAGACACCAGGCUCACAGAGCUGGCUCUCCAGGGCGAGGGUUACCCACUGCACUUGGGAUCUGUGGACCCCUGCGAUGUCCCUGCAUGUGGGAAUCCCAUUGCAUAAUCUGUGGUCAUAGGGGGUGGAGUUUACAUUCUCUCCUG